UUAAAUAGCGCCGCUAAAUUUCACGGAGCAGCAGAUGAACCUCUCAGGCUUCAGUCGUGUCGGUGAGGGAUUAAAGAUUAAAAGGAAGAACCGGAUGUCAACUGAUUUCUCCCUAAUAUGUGAGGACCAAUGUGGAGGCGGAGGUGUUCUUCUGAUGAAACAUCCCCAACCAAAUCAGAGGCAGCGGACGUACAGUGGAGUGGUACAAGAUCGAGUGUGCUCUGGAAAUUGGAUGCUGGAAUGGGCAGCAAAGCCAACCUAAACUCAAUCAGCAACCCCGAUCCGUCGAGUCGUGGACUCGAACUGGACCUCUGAAAGUGUGCCGGCACCGAGGCGUUCGCAGCAGAUCCUUUAAGUCCUGCCUUCAGCCUUGUUUGCCCAGCACAAUUCCACAGAUGCUCGAUUGGAUGAGAUCGCAGGAGUUUGGAGGUAAGUAAACAUC